rnacentral:rRNA from 1 species
GAUGAACGCUGGCGGCGUGCCUAAUACAUGCAAGUCGAGCGAAUGGAUUAAGAGCUUGCUCUUAUGAAGUUAGCGGCGGACGGGUGAGUAACACGUGGGUAACCUGCCCAUAAGACUGGGAUAACUCCGGGAAACCGGGGCUAAUACCGGAUAACAUUUUGAACCGCAUGGUUCGAAAUUGACAGGCGGCUUCGGCUGUCACUUAUGGAUGGACCCGCGCCGCAUGAGCUAGUUGGUAAGGUAACGGCCGACCAAGGCAACGAUGCGUAGCCGACCUGAGAGGGUGAUCGGCCACACUGGGACUGAGACACGGCCCAGACUCCUACGGGAGGCAGCAGUAGGGAAUCUUCCGCAAUGGACGAAAGUCUGACGGAGCAACGCCGCGUGAGUGAUGAAGGCUUUCGGGUCGUAAAACUCUGUUGUUAGGGAAGAACAAGUGCUAGUUGAAUAAGCUGGCACCUUGACGGUACCUAACCAGAAAGCCACGGCUAACUACGUGCCAGCCGCCGCCGUAA